rnacentral:rRNA from 1 species
AGUGAACGCUGGCGGUAGGCCUAACACAUGCCAGUCGAACGGCAGCACAGUAAGAGCUUGCUCUUACGGGUGGCGAGUGGCGGACGGGUGAGGAAUACAUCGGAAUCUACUUUUUCGUGGGGGAUAACGUAGGGAAACUUACGCUAAUACCGCAUACGACCUACGGGUGAAAGCAGGGGAUCUUCGGACCUUGCGCGAUUGAAUGAGCCGAGGUCGGAUUAGCUAGUUGGCGGGGUAAAGGCCCACCAAGGCGACGAUCCGUAGCUGGUCUGAGAGGAUGAUCAGCCACACUGGAACUGAGACACGGUCCAGACUCCGACGGGAGGCAGCAGUGGGGAAUAUUGGACAAUGGGCGCAAGCCUGAUCCAGCCAUACCGCGUGGGUGAAGAAGGCCUUCGGGUUGUAAAGCCCUUUUGUUGGGAAAGAAAAGCAGCAGGUUAAUACCCCGCUGUUCUGACGGUACCCAAAGAAUAAGCACCGGCUAACUUCGUG